rnacentral:rRNA from 1 species
UACGUAGGGGGCAAGCGUUGUCCGGAAUCAUUGGGCGUAAAGAGCGUGUAGGCGGCUUGGUAAGUCCGCUGUGAAAGUCCAGGGCUCAACCCUGGAAAGCCGGUGGAAACUGUCAAGCUUGAGUCCGGAAGAGGCGAGUGGAAUUCCCGGUGUAGCGGUGAAAUGCGCAGAUAUCGGGAGGAACACCAGUAGCGAAGGCGGCACUCUGGGCCGUGACUGACGCUGAGGAGCGAAAGCGUGGGUAGCAAACAGG